AUAACGACUCUCGGCAACGGAUAUCUCGGCUCUUGCAUCGAUGAAGAACGUAGCGAAAUGCGAUACUUGGUGUGAAUUGCAGAAUCCCGUGAACCAUCGAGUCUUUGAACGCAAGUUGCGCCCGAAGCCAUCAGGUUGAGGGCACGUCUGUUUGGGCGUCACGC
rnacentral:rRNA from 2 species